rnacentral:rRNA from 1 species
GACCAACGCUGGCGGCGUGCUUAACACAUGCAAGUCGAACGGAAAGGCCCUGCUUUUGUGGGGUGCUCGAGUGGCGAACGGGUGAGUAACACGUGAGUAACCUGCCCUUGACUUUGGGAUAACUUCAGGAAACUGGGGCUAAUACCGGAUAGGAGCUCCUGCUGCAUGGUGGGGGUUGGAAAGGUUCGGCGGUUGGGGAUGGACUCGCGGCUUAUCAGCUUGUUGGUGGGGUAGUGGCUUACCAAGGCUUUGACGGGUAGCCGGCCUGAGAGGGUGACCGGCCACAUUGGGACUGAGAUACGGCCAAGACUCCUACGGGAGGAAGCAGUGGGGAAUAUUGCACAAUGGGCGGAAGCCUGAUGCAGCAACGCCGCGUGCGGGAUGACGGCCUUCGGGUUGUAAACCGCUUUCGCCUGUGACGAAGCGUGAGUGACGGUAAUGGGUAAAGAAGCACCGGCUAACUACGUG